rnacentral:lncRNA from 1 species
AACAACGUCUUUCAAGAAGGAAUAAUUGGUUCAUAAUUUAUGUGCCGAAACGUAGUCCUCAUAGAAUGUCAUAAUUUCAUACUCGAUCCUCAUAAUAAGACCAUCUGACCUCCAAACAAAGGCUAUCUGAAGAUCUAACUAAUAUCAAAAAUGCCAACAACACCGCCGUUAUGCUCAACGAAAGCUUCUCUUCUCGACCUAAGGGCCCAUUUCCUUUCACGUCAAGCCAUUCCAUGAACAACAUGGGCCAGCUCACCAACAUAAAUCUGACACUGCAAAGUGGCAGCAUCCGGUUGUAUCUGAUAGUCUGCAUGUGUUAAAUGAAUAAUUAGUUAUCGUAAUCAUGAGAGGCUGGCACUUAUUGUUUUCAAACAAAAGUAUGUGUUCAAGUAUAAACCACAAACAAACAGUAACACACACUUAAGAGAAGUAACCAUCUUGCAUGAGCACCCGAUCUAAUAGCAUGAGUAUGAAAUGGCAAGUUGGGUCAGUUAGAGGAUAUAAUAGGAACAACCAUAGCAAUCAAUAAAAAAGACCAUAGGAUCAUAUACACCAAAGUGAAUCGUUCUCCCUUCUUAAGAAGAAUAAUCACGUUCAAUUUAAAGAUCAGUGCUUGCAUAGAAUUGUAGUUGGAGAGUAACUUCACUUUUAACAAAUUUAAAGAUUCUAAUUUUCAAAUAAUUCACUUUUUCCAAAAGGCCUCUUCCCACAUGUAACAGACUGACAAUUUACUUUCCAAAAAUAAUUCACUUGUUCCAAUAAUCCACUUUCUCAAGUUCAGCAUAACUAAAAAGGGAUCAGAAGUAUAGAUGACAAAUUCUUGACCUAAACAUAUGUGUAUUAUGUGAUGAUGGAGUAGUGACUCCGUAAAUAGAUUGUUAACAAACUAAAGAGGGAUACAACCUACAUUUUCACUUGUUCUCUGAAGCGAUCCGUAAAUAGAUUGUUAACAAACUAAAGAGGGAUACAACCUACAUUUUCACUUGUUCUCUGAAGCGAUUAACAAUGCAAUUUUUCCAGUCAAAUAAUACAUGGUAAAUCCAAACACAGGUAGGCAAUCUAUGGAACUGAACACGGAUAAACUGGAUUAAGUGGACGUGGUGAUAUGUCCCUGACAGUUAAUGCAGAGAAAUAUUAUGAUGUAUUCCACUUCAUCCUGACUAACAAGCUGAAAAUACAUACCUCGAUCGUGCACUCCCUGUCAGCAUGAGGUGCUACCGCUAAUUACCCCAGUGAACCACUCCAUUCCCAAAGUCAUUUCACAGGAACUACUUGACCUAGCAAAACAAAAAAUACAUCAGCGAAGAUACCAAGUGUGAUGGUCACAAACUCAAAGUUAUUCAAAUCUGGGCAAAUAUGCAUAGAUCAAGUGUAAUUGUACAUCUUCAGAUUUUGUAAAUCUUCUCUUAAUAUACUGAAGCAGCGCUACUGCCUGCCAUCUUCCAAAAAAAGUGCAAGCACACCCAAUGAAGAUCAUGACGGCAUUGGCGGAUGGGUUGACCACUUGACCACCAAAAAUCCCCUGUGCUGCAAGAAUUGUGACAACAAAAAC